rnacentral:rRNA from 1 species
ACAUGCCUACAACAUAGCGUUAAUGUACAAUAUCCCAUUAGAACUCCAUAUUUAAGCAUGUUGAGGCUAUAGUAGUACUCAAAUGGGCGACUUCCUGGGAAGUCCAAGUGUUUUUCAUGCA